ACCCUUGUAGCUCAACGGAAAGAGUACGGCGCUACGAACGCCGGGGUCCAGGUUCGAUUCCUGGCAGGGGUACC
rnacentral:tRNA from 1 species